ACGAACGCUGGCGGCAUGCCUAACACAUGCAAGUCGAACGAGAAAAUUUCCUUCGGGAAACUAGUAAAGUGGCGCAAGGGUGAGUAACACGUGAAUAAUCUGCCCUCGAGAUCGGGAUAACAUGGUGAAAACUGUGCUAAUACCGAAUAAGACCACAUUUCAAAAGAAAUGCGGGAAAAGGAGUCUCAACCUUCACUCGAGGAUGAGUUCGCGCAACAUUAGCUUGUUGGUGAGAUAAAAGCUCACCAAGGCUACGAUGUUUAGCCGGCCUGAGAGGACGAUCAGCCACACUGGGACUGAGACACGGCCCAGACUCCUACGGGAGGCAGCAGUGGGGAAUAUUGCACAAUGGGCGCAAGCCUGAUGCAGCAAUACCGCGUGUGUGAAG
rnacentral:rRNA from 1 species